ACCAUCAGGUGGCCGCAGAGAAUAGGCCCAAGCGACUGUUUACCAAAAACAUAGGUUUCUGCUAAGUCGCAAGACGAUGUAUAGGAGCUGACGCCUGCCCGGUGCUGGAAGGUUAAGGGGAUCUGUUAGAGUAAUCGAAGCAGUGAACUUAAGCCCCAGUAAACGGCGGCCGUAACUAUAACGGUCCUAAGGUAGCGAAAUUCCUUGUCGGGUAAGUUCCGACCCGCACGAAAGGCGUAACGAUUUGGGCACUGUCUCAACAACAGACUCGGUGAAAUUGUAAUUCCGGUGAAGAUGCCGGAUACCUGCGACAGGACGGAAAGACCCCAUGGAGCUUUACUGUAGCUUGACAUUGGGUCUUGGUACUACAUGUACAGGAUAGGUGGGAGGCUUUGAAACCAGGACGCCAGUUUUGGCGGAGCCAUCCUUGGGAUACCACCCUUGUAGUACUGGGACUCUAACCAUAGGCCAUGAAUCUGGUCUUGGGACACUGUCAGGUGGGCAGUUUGACUGGGGCGGUCGCCUCCCAAAAGGUAACGGAGGCGCUCAAAGGUUCUCUCAGUACGGUCGGAAAUCGUACGUAGAGUGUAAAGGCAAAAGAGAGCUUGAUUGCAAGACAUACAGGUCGAGCAAGGAUGAAAAUCGGACUUAGUGAUCCGGUGGUUCUGCGUGGAAGGGCCAUCGCUCAACGGAUAAAAGCUACCCUGGGGAUAACAGGCUUAUCUCCCCCAAGAGUCCACAUCGACGGGGAGGUUUGGCACCUCGAUGUCGGCUCAUCACAUCCUGGGGCUGUAGUAGGUCCCAAGGGUUGGGCUGUUCGCCCAUUAAAGUGGUACGCGAGCUGGGUUCAGAACGUCGUGAGACAGUUCGGUCCCUAUCCGUCGCAGGCGUAGGAAAUUUGAGAAGACCUGUCCUUAGUACGAGAGGACCGGGAUGGACG
rnacentral:rRNA from 1 species